UCCGUAGGUGAACCUGCGGAAGGAUCAUUAUUGAAGGGGAAGGAAACUUCCCCAAAAAGUAUAACACCCUUGUCUAUGAGUACUAUCGUUUCCUCGGCAGGCUUGCCUGCCAAUGGGGACCCUUAUUAAUCUUUUAAUAUUGUUGUAACCGUAACCAAACAAAUAAUCAAAACUUUCAACAACGGAUCUCUUGGUUCUGGCAUCGAUGAAGAACGCAGCGAAAUGCGAUAAGUAGUGUGAAUUGCAGAAUUCAGUGAAUCAUCGAAUCUUUGAACGCACAUUGCGCCCUGUGGUAUUCCGCAGGGCAUGCCUGUUCGAGCGUCAUUUAACCUCCUCAAGCUCUGCUUGGUGUUGGGCGUUUGUCUUAGCUUCUGGCAUGGACUCGCCUUAAAAUUAUUGGCAGCUACCUCUCUGGCUUCGAGCGCAGCACUAUUGCGCCCAGUCUUUGGGAGUGUGGUUACCCAGAAGCCUUCUUUUCGGUUGACCUCGGAUCAGGUAGGGAUACCCGCUGAACUUAAGCAUAUCAAAGCAGGCAGGUGGAACG
rnacentral:rRNA from 1 species